rnacentral:rRNA from 1 species
AGAAUCAACGCUGGCGGCGUGCCUAACACAUGCAAGUCGAUCGAGAAAGUGGAGCAAUCCAUGAGUAAAGAGGCGCACGGGUGAGUAACACGUGACUAACCUACCUUCGAGUGGGGAAUAAACCUGGGGAAACCCGGGCUAAUACCGCAUAAUACCUACGGGUCAAAGGAGCAAUUCGCUUGAAGAGGGGGCCGCGGCAGAUUAGUUAGUUGGCGGGGUAAUGGCCCACCAAGACGAUGAUCUGUA